GCUGGCGGCAGGCCUAACACAUGCAAGUCGAGCGGUAACAUUUCUAGCUUGCUAGAAGAUGACGAGCGGCGGACGGGUGAGUAACGCGUAGAAAUCUACCUAGUAGUGGGGGAUAGCCCAGAGAAAUUUGGAUUAAUACCGCAUACGCCCUACGGGGGAAAGCGGGGGAUCUUCGGACCUCGUGCUAUUAGAUGAGUCUGCGUCGGAUUAGCUUGUUGGUGAGGUAAUGGCUCACCAAGGCGACGAUCCGUAGCUGGUCUGAGAGGAUGACCAGCCACACUGGAACUGAGACACGGUCCAGACUCCUACGGGAGGCAGCGGUGGGGAAUAUUGCACAAUGGGCGCAAGCCUGAUGCAGCCAUGCCGCGUGUGUGAAGAAGGCCUUAGGGUUGUAAAGCACUUUCAGCAGUGAGGAAAGGGGUGUCGUUAAUAGCGCCAUCCUGUGACGUUAACUGCAGAAGAAGGACCGGCUAACUCCGUG
rnacentral:rRNA from 1 species